GAUGAACGCUGGCGGCGUGCCUAAUACAUGCAAGUCGAGCGAACAGAUGAGAAGCUUGCUUCUCUGAUGUUAGCGGCGGACGGGUGAGUAACACGUGGGUAACCUACCUAUAAGACUGGGAUAACUCCGGGAAACCGGGGCUAAUACCGGAUAAUAUUUUGAACCGCAUGGUUCAAUAGUGAAAGACGGUUUCGGCUGUCACUUAUAGAUGGACCCGCGCCGUAUUAGCUAGUUGGUAAGGUAACGGCUUACCAAGGCGACGAUACGUAGCCGACCUGAGAGGGUGAUCGGCCACAGUGGAACUGAGACACGGUCCAGACUCCUACGGGAGGCAGCAGUAGGGAAUCUUCCGCAAUGGGCGAAAGCCUGACGGAGCAAUGCCGCGUGAGUGAAGAAGGCCUUCGGGUCGUAAAACUCUGUUAUAAGAGAAGAACAAAUUGUAGAGUAACUGCUACAGUCUUGACGGUAUCUUAUCAGAAAGCCACGGCUAACUACGUGCCAGCCGCCGCAGUAA
rnacentral:rRNA from 1 species